GAUGAACGCUGGCGGCGUGCCUAAUACAUGCAAGUCGAGCGAACGGACGAGAAGCUUGCUUCUCUGAUGUUAGCGGCGGACGGGUGAGUAACACGUGGAUAACCUACCUAUAAGACUGGGAUAACUUCGGGAAACCGGAGCUAAUACCGGAUAAUAUUUUGAACCGCAUGGUUCAAAAGUGAAAGACGGUCUUGCUGUCACUUAUAGAUGGAUCCGCGCUGCAUUAGCUAGUUGGUAAGGUAACGGCUUACCAAGGCAACGAUGCAUAGCCGACCUGAGAGGGUGAUCGGCCACACUGGAACUGAGACACGGUCCAGACUCCUACGGGAGGCAGCAGUAGGGAAUCUUCCGCAAUGGGCGAAAGCCUGACGGAGCAACGCCGCGUGAGUGAUGAAGGUCUUCGGAUCGUAAAACUCUGUUAUUAGGGAAGAACAUAUGUGUAAGUAACUGUGCACAUCUUGACGGUACCUAAUCAGAAAGCCACGGCUAACUACGUGCCAGCAGCCGCGGUAAUACGUAGAUGGCAAGCGUUAUCCGGAAUUAUUGGGCGUAAAGCGCGCGUAGGCGGUUUUUUAAGUCUGAUGUGAAAGCCCACGGCUCAACCGUGGAGGGUCAUUGGAAACUGGAAAACUUGAGUGCAGAAGAGGAAAGUGGAAUUCCAUGUGUAGCGGUGAAAUGCGCAGAGAUAUGGAGGAACACCAGUGGCGAAGGCGACUUUCUGGUCUGUAACUGACGCUGAUGUGCGAAAGCGUGGGGAUCAAACAGGAUUAGAUACCCUGGUAGUCCACGCCGUAAACGAUGAGUGCUAAGUGUUAGGGGGUUUCCGCCCCUUAGUGCUGCAGCUAACGCAUUAAGCACUCCGCCUGGGGAGUACGACCGCAAGGUUGAAACUCAAAGGAAUUGACGGGGACCCGCACAGGCGGUGGAGCAUGUGGUUUAAUUCGAAGCAACGCGAAGAACCUUACCAAAUCUUGACAUCCUUUGACAACUCUAGAGAUAGAGCCUUCCCCUUCGGGGGACAAAGUGACAGGUGGUGCAUGGUUGUCGUCAGCUCGUGUCGUGAGAUGUUGGGUUAAGUCCCGCAACGAGCGCAACCCUUAAGCUUAGUUGCCAUCAUUAAGUUGGGCACUCUAAGUUGACUGCCGGUGACAAACCGGAGGAAGGUGGGGAUGACGUCAAAUCAUCAUGCCCCUUAUGAUUUGGGCUACACACGUGCUACAAUGGACAAUACAAAGGGCAGCGAAACCGCGAGGUCAAGCAAAUCCCAUAAAGUUGUUCUCAGAUCGGAUUGUAGUCUGCAACUCGACUACAUGAAGCUGGAAUCGCUAGUAAUCGUAGAUCAGCAUGCUACGGUGAAUACGUUCCCGGGUCU
rnacentral:rRNA from 1 species